UUCUGGUGAUGAUCCUGCCAUGCUAAUACCGAUGCACCAGUUUGACUUAGUCUUUCUGGGUGUAAAUGAGUUAUGCCAAACUUCUCACACUCGCAGUGUGAUCUGAAGAAA